GACGAACGCUGGCGGCGUGCUUAACACAUGCAAGUCGAACGGUAAGGCCCUUCGGGGUACACGAGUGGCGAACGGGUGAGUAACACGUGGGUGAUCUGCCCUGCACUUCGGGAUAAGCCUGGGAAACUGGGUCUAAUACCGGAUAGGACCACUGCCUGCAUGGGUGGUGGUGGAAAGCUUUUGCGGUGUGGGAUGGGACCGCGGCCUAUCAGCUUGUUGGUGGGGUAAUGGCCUACCAAGGCGACGACGGGUAGCCGGCCUGAGAGGGUGACCGGUCACACUGGGACUGAGAUACGGCCCAGACUCCUACGGGAGGCAGCAGUGGGGAAUAUUGCACAAUGGGCGCAAGCCUGAUGCAGCGACGCCGCGUGAGGGAUGACGGCCUUCGGGUUGUAAACCUCUUUCAGCUAUGACGAAGCGCAAGUGACGGUAGUAGCAGAAGAAGGACCGGCCAACUACGUGCCAGCCGCCGCCGUAAAAC
rnacentral:rRNA from 1 species